rnacentral:rRNA from 1 species
CAGUCGCCGCGGUAAUACGAAGGGUGCAAGCGUUAAUCGGAAUUACUGGGCGUAAAGCGUGCGUAGGCGGUUUGUUAAGUCUGUUGUGAAAUCCCCGGGCUCAACCUGGGAAUGGCAGUGGAUACUUGCUCGCUAGAGUGUGUCAGAGGAUGGUGGAAUUCCCGGUGUAGCGGUGAAAUGCGUAGAGAUCGGGAGGAACAUCAGUGGCGAAGGCGGCCAUCUGGGACAACACUGACGCUGAGGCACGAAAGCGUGGGGAGCAAACAGGAUUAGAUACCCCCGUAGUCCCUGUCUCUUAUAC